CCUACGGGAGGCAGCAGUAGGGAAUCUUCCGCAAUGGACGAAAGUCUGACGGAGCAACGCCGCGUGAGUGAAGAAGGUUUUCGGAUCGUAAAGCUCUGUUGUAAGAGAAGAACGUGUGUGAGAGUGGAAAGUUCACACAGUGACGGUAACUUACCAGAAAGGGACGGCUAACUACGUGCCAGCAGCCGCGGUAAU
rnacentral:rRNA from 1 species